GGGGCUUUAGCUCAGUUGGUAGAGCGCUGCCUUUGCAAGGCAGAUGUCAGGAGUUCGAAUCUCCUAAGCUCCAC
rnacentral:tRNA from 4 species